AGUGAACGCUGGCGGUAGGCCUAACACAUGCAAGUCGAACGGCAGCACAGUAAGAGCUUGCUCUUACGGGUGGCGAGUGGCGGACGGGUGAGGAAUACAUCGGAAUCUACUUUUUCGUGGGGGAUAACGUAGGGAAACUUACGCUAAUACCGCAUACGACCUACGGGUGAAAGCAGGGGAUCUUCGGACCUUGCGCGAUUGAAUGAGCCGAUGUCGGAUUAGCUAGUUGGCGGGGUAAAGGCCCACCAAGGCGACGAUCCGUAGCUGGUCUGAGAGGAUGAUCAGCCACACUGGAACUGAGACACGGUCCAGACUCCUACGGGAGGCAGCAGGGGGGAAUAUUGGACAAUGGGCGCAAGCCUGAUCCAGCCAUACCGCGGGGGUGAAGAAGGCCUUCGGGUUGUAAAGCCCUUUUGUUGGGAAAGAAAAGCAGCAGGUUAAUACCCCGCUGUUCUGACGGUACCCAAAGAAUAAGCACCGGCUAACUUCGU
rnacentral:rRNA from 1 species